rnacentral:rRNA from 1 species
CGUAGGGUGCGAGCGUUAAUCGGAAUUACUGGGCGUAAAGCGUGCGCAGGCGGUUUUGUAAGACAGAUGCGAAAUCCCCGGGCUCAACCUGGGACCUGCAUUUGUGACUGCAAGGCUAGAGUACGGUAGAGGGGGAUGGAAUUCCGCGUGUAGCAGUGAAAUGCGUAGAUAUGCGGAGGAACACCGAUGGCGAAGGCAACCCCCCUGGACCUGUACUGACGCUCAUGCACGAAAGCGUGGGGAGCAAACAGGAUUAGAUACCCUGGUAGUCCACGCCCUAAACGAUGUCAACUGGUUGUUGGGUCUUUACUGACUCAGUAACGAAGCUAACGCGUGAAGUUGACCGCCUGGGGAGUACGGCCGCAAGGUUG